rnacentral:rRNA from 1 species
UACGUAGGGGGAAAGCGUUGUCCGGAAUUAUUGGGCGUAAAGAGCGCGCAGGUGGUUGAUUAAGUCUGAUGUGAAAGCCCACGGCUUAACCGUGGAGGGUCAUUGGAAACUGGUCGACUUGAGUGCAGAAGAGGGAAGUGGAAUUCCAUGUGUAGCGGUGAAAUGCGUAGAGAUAUGGAGGAACACCAGUGGCGAAGGCGGCUUCCUGGUCUGUAACUGACACUGAGGCGCGAAAGUGUGGGGAGCAAACAGGAUUAGAUACCCUGGUA